CGUCACGGCGAGCCUGUGCGCCCGUCACUAUCGCUAUAUAACCUCUUGUUGUAGCUAAAUCCUGUCAAAGUAAAACCAUCAUUCUUUGUUGUCCAGUGAUAGUGAGAGUAAAACUACAAGAAAAUGCCAGGACCGUGCUGUGACUCUUGCAAAGACACUUGUGGAGCUGGAGGAAAGUGUACUUGUGGAGAUAACUGCAAGUGCUCCAGCGACUGUCAGUGCUGCAAGAAAGGCAGCAGUUGCUCUUGCAAGACAGGAGGCCAAUGUAAAUGCCCAGAAGGAUCCUGCAACUGCUAGACUCAACAUUGGACCUGCCUCUUACAUUCCACUGAUCAAAUGUCAAGUGUCGAUUGGAGUUUGAGUUUUCCUACAUCUGUUACUUUUUUUUGUACAUGUUUAUUGUUUAAUUAAAGUAUUUAUUCCCCAA